AUGAAGGUUAUAUCAUGGAACUGCCGGGGGCUUGGGAACCCGCCGGCAGUUCGAAGCCUUCUGGAGCUCCAGAGGGUGGAAGAGCCCGACAUCCUCUUUCUCUCAGAAACUAAAAUGUCUGGGAGGGAGAUGGAGUUUUUGAGAUGGCGCAUGAACAUGUUGAACAUGGUGUCGGUUGAUUGUGUGGGACGUAGUGGUGGUUUGGCCCUAUUCUGGAAG
rnacentral:rRNA from 1 species